GCCUAUCUCAGUUCGGAUUGGAGGCUGAAACCCGCCUCCAUGAAGUUGGAUUCGCUAGUAACCGCGCAUCAGCCAUGGCGCGGUGAAUACGUUCCCGGGCCUUGUACACACCGCCCGUCAAGCCAUGGGAGCUGGGGGUGCCUGAAGUUCGUGACCGCAAGGAUCGACCUAGGGCAAAACCGGUGACUGGGGCUAAGUCGUAACAAGGUAAC
rnacentral:rRNA from 1 species